rnacentral:pre_miRNA from 1 species
CAACUACUCCCUCUGUCCCAAAUUUCUUGUCUUAGAUUUGUCUAGAUACGGAUGUAUCUAGAUACGGAUGUAUCUAAUACUAAAAUGUGACUUGAUACAUCCGUAUCUAGACAAAUCUAAGACAAGAAUUUUGGGACGGAGGGAGUACUUU